rnacentral:rRNA from 1 species
GAGCGAACGCGGAGAAGCCCAAACCAGAGAGCUUGCUCUUUGGGGUUGUGGGACAUCUCACAUGGAGUUACAAAGGAGCCGGUUAAACGAAGAGGUCUGGAAAGGCCCGCCAAAGAAGGUAAAAGCCCUGUACUUGAAAGUUGGUUCUCUCCGAGAUGUAUCCCGAGUAGUGCGGGGCACGUGAAACCCCGUAUGAAUCCGGCAGGACCAUCUGCCAAGGCUAAAUACUUCCUAGCGACCGAUAGUGAAGCAGUACCGUGAGGGAAAGGUGAAA